GGCACAUUCUCUAUCACUCUGCUUCUUGUAGUGUCCUCCCUUGUCGACGGGCGUAAGAAGUGAUGAAUGGCGUUUUUAGUUUUAUUUUAUUUUCAAAAUUGUAGGUUUGGGAGAUUUUCUCAUUUUUGAAAUACACUUGUAACAGUGUGAGCACACUGCAGUCUGGAUGCAAAAUUUGGUGGCUCUAGCUUUUAUAGUCUCUGAGAUCCAGGCGCUCAAUAAGACGGACGGACAGGCAGACA
rnacentral:lncRNA from 1 species